rnacentral:tRNA from 1 species
UGCCGCCGGGGCCGUGGCCUUGCCAGGCUUGGCCGAGCUGAGGACCCGGCGCAGGGAGAAGGCGACUAGGCCGGUGGUGCCCCACCACGCGGUGGAGACCA